AAUAAGAUGCCUGACCAGAAAGGACUAUUUUGAUAGAAUAGAUUAUGUACAAUUGUACUCUUAUUA
rnacentral:tRNA from 1 species